rnacentral:lncRNA from 1 species
AUGAGAGGCCUCAAGUGGAACGUGGCAUAUGAUGAGGGAGGCAGAGAUAGGGAGAGAGUGCAUUCUGGGUUUAAAGGAAUGCCUUCUGCCAAGACAGAGAGAAGCAGAUGGGAUAUCAUGUUAGAAUCAACAAGAGGACCACGUGGACUCAGAUAUUUUCCAUGUACCAUGCUUGUGUUGUCUCCCACAAGUUCCUUGAAAGGAGAAACUUCUGUAUUUUCUGGUAAGUGUUUAAUAAAUGCUCAUUGAUUGAUUUAUUGAUUGCUA